rnacentral:rRNA from 1 species
GAUGAACGCUGGCGGCGUGCCUAAUACAUGCAAAUCGAGCGAACAGACGAGGAGCUUGCUCCUCUGACGUUAGCGGCGGACGGGUGAGUAACACGUGGAUAACCUACCUAUAAGACUGGGAUAACUUCAGGAAACCGGAGCUAAUACCGGAUAAUAUAUUGAACCGCAUGGUUCAAUAGUGAAAGACGGUUUUGCUGUCACUUAUAGAUGGAUCCGCGCCGCAUUAGCUAGUUGGUAAGGUAACGGCUUACCAAGGCAACGAUGCGUAGCCGACCUGAGAGGGUGAUCGGCCACACUGGAACUGAGACACGGUCCAGACUCCUACGGGAGGCAGCAGUAGGGAAUCUUCCGCAAUGGGCGAAAGCCUGACGGAGCAACGCCGCGUGAGUGAUGAAGGUCUUCGGAUCGUAAAACUCUGUUAUUAGGGAAGAACAAAUGUGUAAGUAACUAUGCACGUCUUGACGGUACCUAAUCAGAAAGCCACGGCUAACUACGUG